CAUCUUCUGCUUCUUACUCAUAAUUAGGUCAUGGUUCAGAGAGGACUUUUGUCCUUGCUUUUUUUAAAAUUUUAAACUCCCUUUAAAAGGAAGAAACCUCCAGCAGAACCAGGCUCAGGAUGAACAGCCAUCUGCCGAGGCUGACUGGCUUCAGGAGGGAAAAAAAAAAAAAACACACACAAAAAGAAACACAUUAAAACAAAGCUGUAACAGAAUCUCUGAAAGAAGAAAAACAGUUUUGACACCAGUCACUGCUUCCCAGGUUCUGACAGCAGCUAGUUGUGAGGACUGUGUUUCACUCUUUAAAUAAAUACUUUUACUAAAUUAAACACAUUAAACAAAUACAAUACAUAUAUGAAAGAGAGUGUCCUCUUCAUGCAGCACGUUCUCCAUGCACUCUAAAGUUAUAGAGGCAUGUGUAGUCUGGAUGGCCCCAGUUGCUGUUCACCUGUAGGCUCACAUGGGUGAAGGAGUCAAUUUUAUCCAAAAGGUUUAUUGCAGCCUGUUCGCAACAGGAUUAAAUUCUAAUUUGGAGAAAUAGUUCAGAUCAGACCAUUGUGAAAAAUGUUACAAAAUGUUUAGAAAAUAAAUUCAAACAAAAUUCAUUAAGUGAGAAAGACGAGAGUAAAAUUUUAAGCAUUUGUUUUUUCAUAUAUCCGCAAACAUUUUGCAAGUCAUCAGUAUAAAUAAAAUAAAAAACGAAAUAAUCUGUAAGUACAUUUCUUCUGUCUGUUUUACUUGUAAUGUAUACAAUUUUUUGGAUAUAUUUUAAAUCGCUAGUUAAAAAAUAUUGCUGCUCGUAACAGAUCGGAAGUGUCAGAGUUCCGGUGUGAGAGCGUGUGCAUGAGAGUGUGAGUGCGAGUGUUGCAUCUUCUUUCAGCGAGGAUCUUCGUGAGGAGUCUGUGGAGCCAGCGCAGGUGAAGCUGAUCUGUCUCAUCAGCGUGCUGGAAUAUAGGAGCUGCAGAACCCUUCAGUCUUCGCUAGAUGGUUAACGCAUACCGGAAAUUUUUGUCUUCUCUUUUCAAGAACUUGCCGAGAAUACCUGCCUGCUCCGCCGUUUCCACCGACCCCAUCUCGCUCCAACCACCCGCGAUUCCGCCUUGCACUCCCUCGUGCCGGACCCUGGCACCUCACCCCCACGCUCUGAAAGAUCCACGCCAAAUGCCACCUGGUCGGGCGACCCUCGCCCUCUUGCCGAAGUCCAGAGAACUGAAUAUAAUUUGUCCUGUUGUAAAUAAAUCACUUACCUUUUCCAUCCA